AUGAGCCAAGGUGUCUUUCUGAUCCGUCCGGCGAUACUCUCCAAGAAUGGAUUGAAGACAUGUCAGGAUAUGUGAAAUCAAUUGACACUAAGCAUCUUUUAACAAUUGGUCUCGAGGGAUUUUACGGCCCAUCAAGUCCCCCGGAGAAGUUGGCAGUGAACCCAAUAGAAUGGGACAGCCAAACCGGAGCAGAUUUUAUCCGCAAUUCGAAA
rnacentral:misc_RNA from 1 species